AGCGUACACGGUGGAUGCCCUGGCAGUCAGAGGCGAUGAAGGGCGUGCUAAUCUGCGAUAAGCGCCGGUAAGGUGAUAUGAACCGUUAUAACCGGCGAUACCCGAAUGGGGAAACCCAGUGUGACUCGUCACACUAUCAUUAACUGAAUCCAUAGGUUAAUGAGGCGAACCGGGGGAACUGAAACAUCUAAGUACCCCGAGGAAAAGAAAUCAACCGAGAUUCCCCCAGUAGCGGCGAGCGAACGGGGAGGAGCCCAGAGCCUGAAUCAGCAUGUGUGUUAGUGGAAGCGUCUGGAAAGGCGCGCGAUACAGGGUGACAGCCCCGUACACAAAAGCGCAUGUGCUGUGAGCUCGAUGAGUAGGGCGGGACACGUGGUAUCCUGUCUGAAUAUGGGGGGACCAUCCUCCAAGGCUAAAUACUCCUGACUGACCGAUAGUGAACCAGUACCGUGAGGGAAAGGCGAAAAGAACCCCGGCGAGGGGAGUGAAAAAGAACCUGAAACCGUGUACGUACAAGCAGUGGGAGCACCCUUUGGGUGUGACUGCGUACCUUUUGUAUAAUGGGUCAGCGACUUAUAUUCUGUAGCAAGGUUAACCGAAUAGGGGAGCCGGAGGGAAACCGAGUCUUAACCGGGCGUUAAGUUGCAGGGUAUAGACCCGAAACCCGGUGAUCUAGCCAUGGGCAGGUUGAAGGUUGGGUAACACUAACUGGAGGACCGAACCGACUAAUGUUGAAAAAUUAGCGGAUGACCUGUGGCUGGGGGUGAAAGGCCAAUCAAACCGGGAGAUAGCUGGUUCUCCCCGAAAGCUAUUUAGGUAGCGCCUCGUGAAUUCAUCUCCGGGGGUAGAGCACUGUUUCGGCUAGGGGGCCAUCCCGGCUUACCAACCCGAUGCAAACUGCGAAUACCGGAGAAUGUUAUCACGGGAGACACACGGCGGGUGCUAACGUCCGUCGUGAAGAGGGAAACAACCCAGACCGCCAGCUAAGGUCCCAAAGUCAUGGUUAAGUGGGAAACGAUGUGGGAAGGCCCAGACAGCCAGGAUGUUGGCUUAGAAGCAGCCAUCAUUUAAAGAAAGCGUAAUAGCUCACUGGUCGAGUCGGCCUGCGCGGAAGAUGUAACGGGGCUAAACCAUGCACCGAAGCUGCGGCAGCGACACUGUGUGUUGUUGGGUAGGGGAGCGUUCUGUAAGCCUGUGAAGGUGUGUCGUGAGGCAUGCUGGAGGUAUCAGAAGUGCGAAUGCUGACAUAAGUAACGAUAAAGCGGGUGAAAAGCCCGCUCGCCGGAAGACCAAGGGUUCCUGUCCAACGUUAAUCGGGGCAGGGUGAGUCGACCCCUAAGGCGAGGCCGAAAGGCGUAGUCGAUGGGAAACGGGUUAAUAUUCCCGUACUUGGUGUUACUGCGAAGGGGGGACGGAGAAGGCUAUGUUGGCCGGGCGACGGUUGUCCCGGUUUAAGCGUGUAGGUGUGUGUUCCAGGUAAAUCCGGUUCACUUUAACACUGAGGCGUGACGACGAGGCACUACGGUGCUGAAGCAACAAAUGCCCUGCUUCCAGGAAAAGCCUCUAAGCAUCAGGUAACAUCAAAUCGUACCCCAAACCGACACAGGUGGUCAGGUAGAGAAUACCAAGGCGCUUGAGAGAACUCGGGUGAAGGAACUAGGCAAAAUGGUGCCGUAACUUCGGGAGAAGGCACGCUGACACGUAGGUGAAGUGAUUUACUCAUGGAGCUGAAGUCAGUCGAAGAUACCAGCUGGCUGCAACUGUUUAUUAAAAACACAGCACUGUGCAAACACGAAAGUGGACGUAUACGGUGUGACGCCUGCCCGGUGCCGGAAGGUUAAUUGAUGGGGUCAGCGCAAGCGAAGCUCCUGAUCGAAGCCCCGGUAAACGGCGGCCGUAACUAUAACGGUCCUAAGGUAGCGAAAUUCCUUGUCGGGUAAGUUCCGACCUGCACGAAUGGCGUAAUGAUGGCCAGGCUGUCUCCACCCGAGACUCAGUGAAAUUGAACUCGCUGUGAAGAUGCAGUGUACCCGCGGCAAGACGGAAAGACCCCGUGAACCUUUACUAUAGCUUGACACUGAACAUUGAGCCUUGAUGUGUAGGAUAGGUGGGAGGCUUUGAAGUGUGGACGCCAGUCUGCAUGGAGCCGACCUUGAAAUACCACCCUUUAAUGUUUGAUGUUCUAACGUGGACCCGUUACCCGGGUUGCGGACAGUGUCUGGUGGGUAGUUUGACUGGGGCGGUCUCCUCCUAAAGAGUAACGGAGGAGCACGAAGGUUGGCUAAUCCUGGUCGGACAUCAGGAGGUUAGUGCAAUGGCAUAAGCCAGCUUGACUGCGAGCGUGACGGCGCGAGCAGGUGCGAAAGCAGGUCAUAGUGAUCCGGUGGUUCUGAAUGGAAGGGCCAUCGCUCAACGGAUAAAAGGUACUCCGGGGAUAACAGGCUGAUACCGCCCAAGAGUUCAUAUCGACGGCGGUGUUUGGCACCUCGAUGUCGGCUCAUCACAUCCUGGGGCUGAAGUAGGUCCCAAGGGUAUGGCUGUUCGCCAUUUAAAGUGGUACGCGAGCUGGGUUUAGAACGUCGUGAGACAGUUCGGUCCCUAUCUGCCGUGGGCGCUGGAGAACUGAGGGGGGCUGCUCCUAGUACGAGAGGACCGGAGUGGACGCAUCACUGGUGUUCGGGUUGUCAUGCCAAUGGCACUGCCCGGUAGCUAAAUGCGGAAGAGAUAAGUGCUGAAAGCAUCUAAGCACGAAACUUGCCCCGAGAUGAGUUCU
rnacentral:rRNA from 2 species